ACAGAUUUAUAUUAACUAGUUACACUUUAUAUUCCGCUUCAAAUCCUCCGUCGUAAUCCCGAUUACUCAUACACCUACGUUUGCCCAUAUAGGGCGACCUCGGUGUUCCAACCCCCUAAUCUCUUACACUCGUCAACACUUGGAUAAUCGGAAGACUUAGCAAUUAUGUUGACUAAUGAAGUAUGGAUGAUUGA